rnacentral:rRNA from 1 species
GACAUAGGUCGCGAACGUUAUCCGGAAUUAUUGGGCGUAAAGGGUGCGUAGAUGGUACAGUAAGUUAUCAGUGGGAAAUCGAGGCUCAACCUCGUGGAAGCUGGUAAUACUGCUAUACUAGAGUGCAGGAGAGGUUAACGGAACUCCAUGUGGAGCGGUAAAAUGCGUAGAUAUAUGGAAGAACAUCAAUAACGGCGAAGGCAGUUAACUAUUCUGCUACUGACAUUGAGGCACGAAAGCGUGGGGAGCAAAAAGG